CACUGGAAAGCUAAUUUGGUAAUAAGCAUUAGCCUUUUAAGCUAAAGAUUGGUGGUUACCGCCCACCUCUAGUGG
rnacentral:tRNA from 1 species